rnacentral:rRNA from 1 species
AGGGCACCACCAGGAGUGGAGCCUGCGGCUUAAUUUGACUCAACACGGGGAAACUUACCCGGCCUGGACACUGGAGGGAUUGACAGAUUGAGAGCUCUUUCUUGAUUCAGUGGGUGGUGGUGCAUGGCCGUCCUUAGUUGGUGGAUCGAUUUGUCUGGUUAAUUCCGAUAACGAACGAGACUCUAGCCUAUUAAAUAGGCUCCCGGCUUUUAAACGCCGGGAGGACUUCUUAGAGGGACAGGUGGCGGUUCAGCCGCACGAAAGAGAGCAAUAACAGGUCUGUGAUGCCCUUUGUUGUCCGGGGCCGCACGCGCGCUACACUGAAGAGAUCAGCGUGCUUUAUGUUCCUGCUCCGACCGGAGUGGGGAACCCAGUGAACCUUCUUCGUGAUUGGGAUAGAAGAUUGUAAUUAUUCUUCUUGAACGAGGAAUUCCCAGUAAAUGCGAGUCAUAAGCUCGCGUUGAUUACGUCCCUGCCCUUUGUACACACCGCCCGUCGCUACUACCGAUUGAACGAUUU